UCAGACGUGUCUCCCAACACUGCGCUCCGCUCUCCUUCCUGCGCCUCAAGUGACCGGAGAGGCGCAAAACCCCUCACCAAGCGCUGUCCCUUUUAUUGGCACCGAAUGGAAUAAAGUACUUUUUCUCUUUGCAGGCAAUCCUCAGUGCGGGACGCGUGACUUCACGGCGGUGAAAACAAAGGAUAAAGGACUCUUGGAGAGGGAACGGAAGAACAAGGGAGAGCAAUAAAGGGUCGAUGCACAGAUUUGCAAGAUCAUUGGUUAUGAUCCAGUGCAUUUGACCUCGGCCGGAACCAGCAAUCCACCUGGGGUAUGAGAGACCGUAUGCACACACACACACACACACACACACACACACACACACACACCUAGGUGCAAAGAAACACACUCGUCUGUUAAAUGGAGUGAACACAUCACUCUUUACUAAGUAGAAGUUUCACUCAUCUCUCCCCCCUCGUUCCCCCAUCUGUCCAUGUCAUCCCUCACUACUCCACUUUCACAUCACCCAUCAGUUAGUCACACACACACACACUCUCUUUCUCACACACACACACACACACACACACUCUCUCUACACAUCAGCCAUCAGUUUGUCCGACAGACACAUAAAUGUACAUCUUCACAUUCACGCACAGGCCGACUCCUUUACAUCACACGUCAGAUCACCCCAGAUUCUCUCUCUCUCUCACACACACACACACACACACACACACACACACACACACACACACACACACAAUGCAUCACACAUCAGUUAUAUCUUUUAUGCUGAAGGAGAGAGGGGGUGUUGGCAGCGGGAGGGGUUGACAGGGGAGAAGAGGAAGUACACAGGAAGUACAUUAGUUAUCACUCCCAUGUCUUCUGCACCUUUUCACUUCUUAUCACCACCCGAUGUCUCAGACCCCAGCCGAGCUGCUUCUCCUUCUCUUCCCACCCCCUUUUUUCUUUUCUCUUUCUGUCUCUCCCUUUCUCACACACACGCCUCUAAAAAUGACUUCCAUGCUCCACUUUAGUGUCGGGCCCUGGGAUCUAGAUGACACUUGGCAAGCCGCAGAAGCCGCGAGACAACUGGAUGAAAUAUUUAAAUGAAAAACGGCAGGGGUAGAAGAGGUGAAGAAAGGAAGGGGGAAAAAGAGAGAGAGAAAGGAAUACAGGACAGAGGACGAGGGAAGGAGACAGUGACGAUAUUCAGAUGGUGAGCAGAAUGUGAAGGAUUUCUUUUCCUGGCUAAGAGAGGGCCAUGUGACAAGAAGUGCAGAUGAAUCGGCUUUCACCUACAAAGUAGCCUGUCGAGAAAUAAACCAAUAUAGAGUGAGAUCACAUUGCUUUGUCUUGGAAUCAUCUGCACGUCUCAGUAUGUGUCGAAGUACUUUCAGCACUGUGCCAGCUCAGCUGCUUGUAGGAGAGCAAUGAAUCUCAUACAUGACCAAAUGAAAUGGGAUUUUAUGACCGUAGAAUUAUAAGGUUCUGUCUGACUUUUAUCCGUUAGAAAUGUUAAAUGCUAAGGCUAGCAUGGCAGCAUGCUAAGUGACAGCGCUAACAUGCUGAUGUUUAGCAUGUAUACAGGAUACUUACUCGAUCGAUAAAGUUUGUUUCACUAUGCUAGCGUUCUAACAAACUCAAAUUGGCUUGGUAUUGUCAUUUCACAGGAGGGCCGAAUCAACAUUCAAGUACUGCAAAAAAGUGCUAUGUUCAAAAUAAAAUAUAAAACGUUUCCAUUCCUAACUUAAAAAAAUGCAAACAGCAGUUUAUAUGAAUUCUUAUAUAUUUUUUUUAUAUAAUCUUUGUUGUUCACAGCCACAAAUAAACACCUGAAAACUGCUCUCUGUUUGCAUGCAUUUGUUGGCACCUUUGACCUUUGCCAUUAUUUUGCACCAAACUAAAUACUUUUGUAACUUUUUUUUUAACUGAAUAUGAAGGAGUAGUGUGCCAAAUAUUAUGGCAAUCCAUCUGAUAUUUGUUGAGAUAUCUCAAUGGAUAAGUCAAAAACGUAGACAAAAAGUAGGGCGAUUACCAAUCAAUGAAUCAUCUGAUCUAUGAUAUUGAUAUCUGUUACAGAUUAAAUAUUGCAGAUAUAUUUUGUUAAAGCAUUUUGUAACAUUGUUUUUUUAAUAUGCAAAUGAAUGUUAUUAUUAUUACCAAAUCACAGCAAUCCAUCCAAUAGUUCUACAGUCUGAAAAGGUUCUAUUGAUAAAGUUUCAACUGCAAAGCCAAUCAGUGCUCAGGUAGUACACUUGAGGACUAAUGCAGUUUUGCCUCUUUACCAGGUUGCCUCAUUGCUCUGUGACCUUAUGUUGAUCAUUGUAUUGAAGACAUUAUGACUAUCACUGAUACAAACGUCAACUGGCUCGUUUUAAUUUGGUGAAAAGCUGUUUUUAUUUUACCUCUAGCUUCUAAACUUGAGAUCCGGGGUAUUCAACUGCAUUUGUCCAAGGGCCAGAAUUUUUCUAAGCUGACACUUGAGGGCCAGACUAUGAAAAAGUAAAUAAUUAAAACUUUAAUUUAGGCCUAAUUAGCCUAUUAUUGUUUCAUAUUUUAAUUUUCUUACACAAUUCAAGUUAUUUUUCAUAAGCCUGACUCAGUGUGAACAGACUAAAAAACAUGGCAAUUAAUCCAUAAUUAUAACUAGAUACUUAGAUAGAAAAUGCUCUCAGACCUCCACCACCUCACUGAGGAGAGAUGUUGAAAUCUGUAAUUGCAGGACGCAGUCCUGAUUUCCAGGAAAUAUUAAUCACCUUUAACCAGUUGAAAUGCAAUAUGCAGUUACACCAUUAUUCUGCACGUGACACCUGUAGUUAAAUGUGAUUUAAUACUACAGCUUACAUGAUUCUGGGGGCAGCUAAACAAACUAUUGUCAUUUUAAUAAGGAAGUCAGGCAAUAUUUUGGCCUUUUUUUUUUAUCAUUCUGUGAGCAACCGUGAUCUGAUUGUAUUCUGCACAGGCCAUGAGUUUGUGAACAGCGACAGUAAAAGUAUCUUUGGUUACCUGGCUGAGAAGUUGGAGGUGUGCAGCUCUUCAUCUAACAGCUCACUGUGGCUGCUCCUUCUUAUUCUAUUACUCCCUGCAAUAUAUCAAACAGUUAUCUUCUUUUGUAGAUGCACUUUUGAUGAACGAUAGCGGGCAGCCAGCGUCAAACUUCCUGAAAAAACAAUUUUCUGCAUUUCCUGUGACGACUACUUCAUAAUAAAAGUCAACUUGUGUUUUGCCAGUUAAAUGCUUUUAAUGUGAAGCUGCAGCAGUAGGAAAUGUUCAGUGUGCAUUAAAUGACCAGAGUUGCUGAUGCAAGAAAGCGGAUGCAACUGUGUGAGCGGAAAAGAGACCAAAAGAACAGCAGACAAGUGGACAGAAAGCAUCAGCAGAAAUUAGUAGAGAAACAUUUUCUUUUAUAGUUUUUUGCAUUGUUUUUAAUUCCAUUGUUAUAUAAGUAUUUAAAAUGUAUAGCUGUGCAUGUGCCAAAAUAUCAUAAUUCCUUUUAAUAAUGAACACAGUGAUUAUGUGUAUUUAAACAACACUGUCUCUUUGUUUUCCAAUUCAUUGCUUAAAUUUCAGCCUUAGAUUAGGCGUUUGCAGUUUGUUCUUACUAUUAGGAGCUAUACUAUUUUGAUGUUACAUAUUUAGAGUGCCUUUAGGGUGCCGGUUAUUUUGACCGAUAAAAGAGAACUUUACUGCGUGCCAUCUUUACAAUUUUGCAGUAAAACCAGGAUUGCAGACAGAACCUUUCGGUUAUGUUUGCUUCCAUUUCCAAUUCAAGAUACAACAAAGAAGCACCUUUAGGUCUAUGUGUGUGUCCAAACAUCCACUUACUGUAAAAGCUCUCCUGAAUUAUUUUUAUAGCUGUAUGCUGGUUGUGCAUAGGUGCAUGCAUUUGUGUGUUUAGUAUGUACAUAAUUGUACUGUACAUAGAUAUAUGUGUGCAUGGGUUUGUGUUUGUAGAAUAAUUUAUGCCUCUUUAUGUAUGCUGCAUUACAGUUGUAUGGGCAUGCUUGCAAAGGACUGUGCUUGCUGCAGAGCUGGACAUCAGGCCUGUCUGUCAGAGAAGUUUGACAGCAUGUAUAGGCAACAAACUUAAAUGUGAGGCCAAAAAAGUGAAGCAAAUUUUACUCCUGCAGUGUACAACUGCAAAAAAAUAUAUAAUAAUUGGAAAGAGAAGUCAAUAAAAACUGAAGAUUUGA